CACACACAGAGAUCACAGACAGCUCAUAUACAGUAUAUAUGGAUAUACAGUAUCAGAACCUCAUCCGUUGUCUUUUCACCGUUUUCACCAGGUGAAUGGAGGUUAAAUCAUGCCUCACAGAAAACAGCCGGAGCAUAAAACCUCACAGAACAUUAAACUUCAAAACGAAGACCCACAACAAGCCAAAAAAAAACGAGAGAAAAGAUGUUUUAAGCUUGUUCACAGGGAAAGCAUGGAGCACACGCCAAACAUUUCUCUUGAUGCAAAAGGAGCAGAAGAGAGUCACAGAUCAUAUGAGACAUUCACAUAUCACAUAAAGGGACUGAUGAAGAAAACAAACCAACGCUGGAGUAAAACGAGAUAAAGCAGAAUGAAAGCCAUAACAUCAAUAGUAUUGGAAAUGGCAGUAUGAUGAAUGACAUAAAAUGAAUGAAUGAAUAUAUGAUGACAGGAUUUAAAUGUUUGGAUGAACG